rnacentral:lncRNA from 1 species
UACAAGCAGCUUUGGGAGAACAAGCUGAAAUAACAAAGUAUAGUCAGCAAGAGUAUGAGAGGCUUCAAAACGUAUUGCUUCUUAUUCUGACUUUUGUCUAAAACUCAACUGAUUAACUUACUGAUAGUUAUGGAUCCUGUAUAACUUAUCAUAAUUUCCUUGAUUAGUAAGCAUAACUUUGUUUUCUAGAUGCCAUGUGGUUUUUUUAUCUUUAAAUGCAUUUGUAUUAUUUUCUAAGCUUUUUUUUUGUUUUGAAUUAUUAAAUUGUUUCCAUCCAUAAUUUAUAUCAAAUUAUACAUAUUGUAAGAUUUAUCUAAUCUUUGUCCAUGUUCUUUCAAUGCAAAGUUUUGAAUAUAAUGAUUGACCAUUCGUUGAAGAAUGGGGGUCAGAUUUGAUGAGCUUAGUCAGAUGACAAGGUAUCAAGGAUUCGAAAUAUAUGGAUCAGAGGAUUGGACGUGUAAAAAGAGAAAUGAAAACCUAAAUAUCUGAUAAAUCAGGAAAAAAUAGAUAAGUCUAAAAAUAGAAAAAUACUUUAGAAAUAGAAAUUCAUAAAAUUAGGAAAAGUACUUAAAAUUUAUCAUUACAAAUUCAGAAGAGAUAAUUACUGUUUUUUUUGCAAUGGAAGGACAAUUUUUUAAUGUAAUUUAUAUGACAAUUUUUUUCUCCUAAAAACCUUUUGUGCAUAUCUAGUUUACGAGAGAGCCACAUAACACGAGAUAGUGUUUUGGAAGGAUUUUUGUGCAUACACCUUCUUGGAGGGGUUGUUUUCUCAUGAGUACUGUUGGAACCCAGCUACUUGAUCCUUCAAUUUACAGGGUAUGAAAAAAUUCCUGUUAUCUCCUCUCCCAUUGCCUACAGAUGAAGAGCACAACUUACCUCUACAUCGAUGUUGAGGUGUCGUUGGUGGUGGAGAUGUGGAGUGCUUCAGUGACAUUAGAUAUUUUUGUUAUCUCCACUGUUCUUCCAUUUUUAUCUCUCCUCUUUUGCUUCUCUUUCUUUGAGUUUGGGGGAUAAGAAGGAUGGACAUUUGUCUUGAUUAGGGUGUUUAUGGAUAAGGAUAUUCCAGUUGGAGGGGGAAAAGAAGAUAAGGAAGGUUGGAUCUUAAUAUUUUUGUUCCAUAAGUUGUUGGUAGUUGAUGAUCCAAAUUUAUAUUGCAAUUAAUUGAAUUUUAAAACCCUGUUUUUAAGGCUAUUUGUUAAGAGGAAAAAGCAAGAAUCUUGCAUGCCUAUUUUUUAGUUAGGAUUUCUAAGGUUAUUCAUUAGUUAGAUUGUGACUUCUCAGUUUUAACUUUUUAAAUGCAUAUUGCACAUAGGGCAUGUGUGUUUGGGGUUAGGUAUGUGCAUUUUCUUUUGUAUCAAUAUUAUUAGUCAACAGUAAUUAAAGCUCUUUUAAUAUCUCUAAUAAUUCUUAAGGUCUUAUUCUACCUUUCAUCAUAACUCUAGUCCUAAUUGCCUCAUUUUAUCUAACUUGUGGAUCUAUGCACCUGCUUCAGUCAUGUUCGUGCUAUGCUAAAUGGUAUUAGUUGAUUUAUUCUUCAUUGAAAUUUGUGCCUUUGUGGUUCUUUAAAUAUGUAAAAUUUCUAUCUUAUUUUAUUUUCAUAUUAACUUUUCAUAAAUCUGUCUCAAAUCAUGAUACAUUGAGUGCACCAAUCCAUAAGUGAUAGGAAUCUGCCAUGUCAUAUACCACCAACACAGUCAAACAUCAACAUGUAUUUAAGAAAACACAAUCUAACACAUGAGAUUGUUGCUAAUGUGGGGAUUGAGAAAGAUCAAUGCAGGUGACCUUACCUUUGCAAGCAAAAAGUUUAGUUUUGUGACUUGAAUCCUUGACAUAGAUGACAUACCGAGAACACGAGAUUACUGCCAAUGCAGGGGUGGGUAUGGGGAGGGUCAAUGUAUGCAACCUGACCUCUAUAUUUAAAUAUAAAAGGUUAUUUUGAAGAUUUAAACCCUUUAACAUAUAGCUAAUCAAUAAUGCUCUCUUUAGUUAACAACUGGUAUAGGUACCAUACUGGUUGAUUCUUAAUAAGUUCAAUUAAGUUUUGGUUUAGGUACUGGUAUCAAUAUUUGAAUUCUUGAUCUUGUUUUUUGGCAAAAGAGAUUUCUUGAUCUUAACAUCCCUGUUUCAGAUACUAAAAUUUUGUACUUGUUAUUUCAAUACUGCUUGGUGUUUUGAUCGCUCUGCCUCUUUCCUAGACUUGCCAAGCACUGGAAUAUCCAUCUUUACACCAAUAUCUUUUAUUUUUAUGAUUUUUGUUGUUUUGGUUAGAUCCAUCACUGAAUAUAUUUUCUGUAUGUUUCUAUGUUUAGCUGCUAAAUGGCAUUCUAAUAAUUCCACUUCAUGCAUGCUAUACUAUGCAUAGGCUUAUUGCAUAGUUGUAUAUACCACACCAGAAAAAGGCUCGCAACAAUACCAUUUCGCAGAUUGGCAAUUCUUGAAUUUUACUUUCUGGUACUUAAUGAUUUUUGUGAAAAUAUCCUGUCUAUAAAUGAACUCUCAUUUAUAGGAGUCUCAUGCAUUAGGUGUAUUUAACAAGGUCUGCCAUACCGAAUCAUACCGCCUGGUACGGGCAGUAUGUACUGGUCCGAUAGGCUACCGGUAUGAGGACCGUCCACUACCGGACGGACCGUGCUACAGUGCUACAGUAUAUACUGUAGCAGUGCUAUAGUGCUACAGUGUACAAUGUAGCAAUGCUAUAGUGUUGGUGUACAGUUCGGUACACCCUAGUGUACCGCUCGGUAUGCUGGUACCGUACCAUACCGAGCCAAUCUCGAAACACCGGUACGGUACGAUAUUGCAUAUCUUGGUAUUUAAUUACUUUCAGUACACAUACAUUGCUACUAAUUGGUUAUGUUUGAGUGUCGUUGUUGCCAGAUAGUAAGAGAAUGCAAAAGAGAUAAAUCAUGCAUAAGUUUGCCCCAUUGGUUGGGUUGGUCAACAUUGGUUUGUAUUUGUUGCACUAGAAAGUUAUAUGCUUGUGUAGUGCCAUGCCAUAGAUGCCACUAUAUGACUUAGAUCAGUUUGUAGCCUAUACCGACUGGUAUUGCAUGGUAGAAAGUCAACACAGGUUUGUCAUUCCUUCUGGUCUUUGCACCAAUUAGCGUGCAUAUGAAUCCUAGUCUUUGUCUUUCGAACACUUCUAAUGAAUAAAUUAUAAUUAGAUGCAUUUUUGUCAAGUCCUAGUUAUGGUUCAAACUUCAAACAUCAAUUGAUCCUUGUAGGGUGUGAUAAUUGUUUAUAGCAAGAUUUGCCUUAUCGAUCUGAACUAAUGUAUUGGCCGAUCGAUGGUAUGGUAUGUACCGCUCCGUACCAACGUACUGUGUCAAUACGACAGAGCAUACCAAUAUCACAGAAAAAUGGCCAAAAAUAGCUCAAAAAAUUCUUGAAAAAUAGAGGAAAAGUUAUAUUAGGAUUUUUAAGUUGGAAAUAAAUAUAAUUUAAUAUAAUUUUAGCAAAAAUAAUCUAAAUUAGGAAAGAAUAGUGACCCAUAUCUUUUUCGAAGGGCUUUAAGGAAUAGCUUUGUGGUAUGUUCCGGAUUGUCCUUCCAUUGGUAUUGAAUUAUCUACAAAGAAAUGAUUUGAAUUGUAAGAUUAUUUGUUAAACAACUUAAACUUUAAGAUUCAAAUGAAUCAAGUAAUCGAUCGAUGGUAUACUUGGUUCUACCACCAAAAAGAACAACGGAACUCCACGGGUGAUGGAUCGAGGUCCUCGAUCUUAUGUAUCUGUAUAUCAAUUAUCAAUUUGAUAUGUUUGUUUGACCAAGUCCUGAAAAUAAUCUCAUGACAUAGUAUACUGAUACACCAUAUGUCAUUGGUGCAUCAAUGUAGUGAUGGUCGUAGUCUAAUUGUCGUGAACCACACAUGUCUGAGGCGGCUCUGAAGGUAAGUACGAUUGUGGCAUGUAUUGAUGCGGAGCAUAGAGAAUAUCGAAACUUCUACUUUUGCCACUGAUUUGUUGCAUCAUAAAAUUGAUCAUCGUACUAUUGCUAAAAAGGGAAUGAUCAACUAUCAUCGUAUUGUUGCUCGGAGAAGAAUGACCAACUAUCAUAUCGAGCUCCAUGAUCUGAAUCUUGGGUGGCAUACGUAAAGUAUUGCUUCUCAGUCCAUGCACUACCCUCAAACUAUGUAGAUGGGACAACCGACUCCCCGGUGUCAUCGCUAUCAUCAAUUGAGGCACUAUUGCCCACGUCAUUGCCAUGUCUCUAGGUUGAGUGGGUUGUUGAAUGCGGUUGAAAAGUUAUUUACAUACCUUUGAUUAGAGUUCUUCUAACUUAUGUGUUAAAACUCUCAAUUAGCCUCCUAAGCUUGAUCCAAUCCACAAAUCGUAACUUUAUGAAGUUUUAAGAGAGUGUAAAUGUGAGAAUGAGAAAGAAGUAAGAAAGAGAUUGAGAGAAUAUAAGAGUACGAGAGAGUGAAAAGAGGUGAAAGAGGUGAAAGAGUGGGGGAGGGUUUAAAAACCCUUUCAAAUGGAUCUAACCAUUGGAAAGGGUCAGAUCUGAGUCAUUUGUCAGUAAUGAUCGAAAUUCGAUCGUUCUCGAUUAGCACAGGUUAGUAACGUUUGGAUUUUAACCAUUAUAGAACGGUACAGUCUUGUAUGCGCUACAGAGCCUUUUAGUAUAUCCCACCUGGUACAGGGUGGUCGACAUACUGGUCCCCUAUCGGACCGGUAUGUACCACUCAUAUUAGUCGAUAUACCGCGGUACGACAGACCCUGGUUUAUAGUCUUAUAAACUUUAAUGUUAAUUCAGUAAUCUGCAAGAACUUAUGGUCUUUCAACUGUUUCUUUUCACCAAUCGGCUUGCUUACGAUUACAUUUUCUUUUUCCUUUAAACUCAUCCAAAAUGAACAAACAGACUAUGAGUAAGAUUAUCACCAAGUAGCAGUGUAGUUAUCUUAUGAACAUUUCUGGCUUUGAAACUUUUUUAGGAAUCCCUGUUGUGCUGACCUAUAAACUGUGAAUAAUGCCUUUCUGUUUGGGCAAACAAAUUAGUGAUGUGAAGUGCAUUUGCAGGUUGUCCUCCCAGUAGGUUAGUAUGAAAACAGAUGGGUGGUGAUACACCUUCAAGGCAUUCCUGAUGCCUUUUCUUUUUUACAAUAUUGUUCAUUUUCUACUUGGCGUUCCCAUUAUUUCUUGUAUGUAUUGUACCCGUGCAACUGUUGAUGUUUUGGUUUUUAUCUUUGUUCAACUGCUGAUGUUUUCGAGACUAUUUCUUUUUUAUAAAAUUGAACCACUCAUCUUAACUAAGUGCUCAUAUACUGUAGAUGCACCUGUCAAGUCACUCGAGUUAUCACUUGUAAACUAUUGAGUAUAUAUCCUUUCUCUGUGUCACGUUUAAAGCUUGAAUCACAUAGUGCUAGACUCAUACCAUAAGCCCUGUAUUGCAUGUGGACUGUUCAAAAUUGGCUGGUCUGCAUGUCAGUUUAUGUUUGGACUGAUAAAUAUCGGCAAAUACAUAUUCAACGAUCUUCGAACACUGGUUGCUUGCAUGUUUGUUUCCAUUGUAAUAUUCCUUACAUCUAAAAGUUAUUUUCCUUUCGAUCUCAUUCCACUUGAAAGAAUUGUGAGGUCUUAAACAUUUUUGACUUGUGAAAAUUUCAUUUUAUCAGGAAAAAGUUCUCUGUAGUAUUUGCUUUGAUGGAGAGAUAUGCAUGGUCCUCCUUCCUUGCCGGCACCGCACUCUCUGCAAGUAUGUUCCAUGAGCCAUUCUCUGUGACACAAAAUAUCUGUUUGGCUCUUGUUCUUUUGGAUAUCGACUUGAAUUUUGUUUGUAGGCCUUGCUCUGAGAGGUGCAAGAAGUGUCCUAUUUGCCGUGUCUCCAUCGAGGAGCGUAUGCCAGUAUAUUAUGUGUAGACCCUGACCAAGAUCUUAACAAGAAUGUGCAACUGUAUAGCUUUAUCAUCUGUUAGAAAGGUUUUGGUGUGUGUUCUGUUCUCACCCUCGUAUUGUACAUAACACGGACAUGAUCUGAUUACAACCUGUGUAAAGCUGUUUGUCCUGCAUCAAUUCUCUAUCCGCAGAAAAACAGGAAAAAAAGAAAACAGAAUCUCUUUUAUUUCUUGAUUGUCGGGUAUAUUUGUGAGAAAUUUAGAUUUACGCUUCCGUAUCUGUGAUGAUUGGUCCAACUCUGGUGCAAAUAAUAUUAGAGAUGUAAUCUGGAGAAUGGUAUGGUGGUUGGUUGCCCAAACAGAUGGUUCAGGCUGUGCCGGGCUGUAUUGCGCCGUGCCCCCAUUGUUAUUUAGGGUUUAGCCCAACGGGAUUCACUUGUUCAUGUGGUGAGAUUGUUUAGAACAUGCUCACCUUCUGAUAUAUGGUGGGAUUCACUUGUUCAUAUGGUGAGAUUGUUUCGGCCACUCAAAGUCUCUGAUAUGCGGACUAUGUCAGUCAAACUUACUAAGUAAGCAAGGGAAUGUUUCUUCACUUUACAAAGAAAACUACUAGUCUUUCAGAUGUGGCUUAGAUACGAAAAAUAUAAGAGCGACUGCAUCGAGCAUGCUCUGGCGAUAGUCUUGUUACUCUUGUAGGUGAUGUUUGUGAAAGAUACACCUUCAUUUUGUUGAAGAUUUGGUUCUCAAAAAAUCAAUGUCCAGUUUGUUGUAGAUAAGAGUAUCACCUUCAUUUUGUUGAAGAUUUGGUUCUCAAAAAUCAAUGUCCAGUUUGUUGUAGAUCGGGGAUCAUUUCUUUCAUAUCCCAUACAAAAAACAAUGAAAGUAAGCAAUGCAAACGCAACAGACAUUACACACCCACACCACCACCGCCACCACCACCGCCACCACCACCGGCGGACAAAAUGAUCGCUCCGACAAUCUUACGAGAGAAGCCACCACCGGAGGUGCUAACCAAGAUAGGCAUAGGCAUCAUCAUGAGCUACAGCCUGCCGCCCAACUAAGUCGGCUACCCCAGCGGCAUCUGAUAUGUACAUUCAUUGGAGACUGCACAUUAAUCUGAUACUGCUAUAGCUCUUCGAACACCAUUAGAUCCUGGAAGCAAAAGGAAGCAAUCAGUAGCAGAAAGCCAUGUAGAAUCCUGUGAACUUAAAAUGACAUCCAGUUCCAGUCAUGCACAUGACCAUGUGGACGGACACAAGGAGUUUAGCACUACCAACAAACAUAGAGAUCAGAUUUAGAGACAUUAAGGGUGUCUAUCACAAUCCAAUUUCUAAAGGAUAAUGUCUUCUGUUUAUAACCUUGUCCAACAUUGAGAAGAUUCCAAAUGGCUAUAAUUGCUCUUGAUGAUACAACAUAUAGCAAUAUCAAACAGAAAAGGUAUCGACCAUGUAAAGAGAUUAUGAAAAUGUAACACAAACCAAAAUUUCGGACAUUGAUAUCAAAAUUAUGCAUGACAUGUCAUAAAUAAAAUCCAUACAAAAUAGAAAGAUGUUUUCUGUUCUGUUAUAUAGAACUCAACGCAUGUGCGGUCCUUUUAGCAAAACUAUAUAGAACUCAACACAUGCGCCAUAAACGGUCCUUGUAGGGAAAUUAGAUCAUAUGAUAUUUUUUACUUCAAAGAAAAGAAGCAAAAAAUAUAUGAUUCAUUUCCCAGAACCACCUCUCUUUCCAUAGCCUCUACCACCGCUUCUGCCACCUCCCCUUGGAUGGCUGCCUCUUUUGUGGUAAAAAACCCUACCAUUAUCUGAUGUUGACUGGGCUUUCAAGUGGUCAGGCAUCGGGAGUAUCAUAUCCACACAUUUACAGAAGCUAAAAUCAUCACUAGUUCCAUCGGCCCGAACAAGGAAGAAACAUCGACUUUUAAAUGUUGGGUGGUUCCGCACCUGGAAUGCCUCAAUUCCUGCUCCAAUCUUCUUAGCAGGGUCAGGAUGCCCCUUCUUCAACAAGUCCAGCAGUACCAUGUGCUCAUACUGCAAAAGUAUAAGCAGUGUUUUAUAUUGAGAACAUCAAAUUUGUUACAAAUUUCUUUGGUGAUAGUUACAAAUUAACACUUUAUUUAAGAGUAUGAUCCAAUACUAAAAAUAAACAUGAUAAACAACGGAAAAUAACAAUCUUAUGCAACAUAUUAACUAGAAAUCAGAUCCAUACAAGAAGGAUUCAAAAUCAUUUUAAGAAUAACAUAUAGUCUUAAUCAAAUAAUAUUUACUCGAAAAAGCAAAUCAAUCAAUAAGCAAUAGAUAUAUAGGAAGAGAAAAACACUAACAAUGAGACAAUCCACAACGAUAUGAAAAAGGUUUGGAGGAUGGUAUAAACACUAAUGGCAAGUCAGCUGGUAAGGCCAAGAAACCAAAUUCUUCAAAACUAAUAAAAGAUCCAACUUAUCCAAGAUGAGAAACUGAUGUUACUGCAAGGUAAACAGUGCAUACGAUAGCUAAAUAUAAUAACAUAUUUUAUUCAUGACAUGCAUGAUUCCAAUAUUCAUUCUCACAUAUUUCUGUUUUUUCAUAGUCGAUUCACAAUAGAGUCACUACUAGUUUCCAUUUCAUAGAUACUGGCAUGAUUGCACAAAAGCACUGUAACCAAAUAAAUUUACGAUUUAUCUUGCAAUGUUGUGAACUUUUGUUUACUGGCAUUCAUAAUUUUCAUCAUUUCUACAAACAGAGUCAAAAAAAAUUUUGUUCCGAUUCACAGUCAAUAAAUUGAUCCGGAUCAAACAAUCUAUACUUUACUUGAGUAACCACUUUUGACCCCUGAUGGUUGGAGGACAACAACCAACAGUCACUUAGUCAAGAUCAAUUUCAUUUCAUUCUCUGCAAGUUUUUAGUACCUCUUUUAUGAACUUUGCUUCCACUAGUUAUUAGUCUUGCUCCUGUCGCAUUGUUCAAUAUUGGUUCCCAGGCCAAAAAAUGACGCAUUUUAGUUCGAUUUAUUCUCUGUAAUGUUUUUGUUGCAUCUUGUAAAUUGCUUGUAGAGUUGUAGUGCCUGCCAAGAUCGGCCAAAUUGCCACAAAAAUCUUAGUAUCUGCUGCCAGAUAGGUUUUCUUCCAUCCUAUGUACUGUCAGAACUUUACCUUUGCAUCAUGUUGUCCCCUCCAGUCAACCUUAUAGGCUAAGUUCACAAGGCUAGGAUCAGGAUGGGUCAUAGGAUUUGAUGUCAUGAUCCUGGCAAAAUGGACCAGACUGGGACUGGAAUUUUCAACAAUGACCAAUAAAUCAGCCAAGAUCAUACGAAACUCAAUCAACAUCAAUAAAACUAUUUGGAAAUUUUCUGGGAUCAGCAACAAGCUGGAUUAAAGCUAGGAUUGACUUGUAUUAAACUAGAAUCCAACCGAACAAUCAAUUUUGCAUCAGAAAUCAAUUGGCUCAGCUGCAACAAAUUCAAGAUUGUCUGAUUCUGAUAAUGACAACUGAGUCUGGGCAAUCCCUUCAAAUAUCAAGGGUUUAAAAGUCUGACUUGGUUGGUCCCUCCAGCGCUUAUAAUGUCAAAGUGAUGAUGACAACCAAGUCUUAACAAUCCCUUAAAUAUCAAGGGUUUGAAAGUCUAACUUAGUUGGUCGUUCCAGAAAUUAUAAUGUGAAAGUAAACAAAAUGUUAAAAAUACCAACCCUUCCUUAGUUGUUACUGUAUUUGAUAACUCAAGACAUGACACACCACAUCCAAUAUUCUCAAGAAUUUCAAAUAUUUAUAUGGAGUGACCAGAUGAUCCUUUUAGCCUGACCAGAAUUCUCUCUUGAACAUAAAAGCACAUGCAUAGAGCAAAAUCAUUUCAUAAUCCAUUCCAACAUGCUAAUAGAGGUCAUUUCCACUUCUUAGCUUGUAAAACUAUAAAAAGGAAUUGGGUUCUCCAAGGUCAACAUGAUCAGAUGAACAAUAUCAUGUUUUCAGUUGUUACAUUCACAAACAUUUAAUAGAGCCUCAAGGCACUGCCUUGAGAAGACCCAAAUGUGAUUACGAAUAAACAAGAAAAAACUUGAAAACCAAAUGAACAUACAUGUCUUCCUACAUAGGACUAUAUAAAAAUUCUACUUUUGUCUUCAGAAAUUUAUUAUUCCUUGGUUUAAUGGUGAACAAUCAAGAAGCUACAUAAGGAUGCAGCUUCUGCUUCCUUUUCAGAACAAAACAUAUAAAGGAAUUCAUAUAAAAUAUUACUUCCUUUUCUAAGGGUAAUAUACAACCAUUGAGAUCUAUAUGGAUCUUUUGUCAUCAUUGAGAUCUAUAAAAAGGCAUAUGUUUAGUUCAGUUCAGAGUACUUAAAUCUUUAUUUAUAGUUUCUAUUAAAAUCUUUUUAGGUCUUCCUCUACCUCUUCUUGUACUGCUAACAUUAAUCAUUUCAUCUCUUCUGACUACUACAUCCGAAGGUCUCCGAAGCAUAUGUUCAUACCAUCUUAAAAUAUUUUCUAUCACAUUAUCUUCUAUCGAAGAUAUCUAGUUAUUCAUAAAUAAUAAAAGUAUUUCUUUUCCUAUCUUUCCUAGUAGCUCCACACAUCUAUACAAAUAUUCUCAUCUCCGCAACACAAAAAAUUUGCAAAUGUUGUUUCUUGACUACCCAACACUCAGAUCCAUAAAGCAUCGUUGGUCUCACAGCUAUCUUAAAAUAAAUUAUCUUUUAAUUUCAAAGAUAUCCGAUGAUCACACAAGACUCCUAACGUCCCUUGCCAUUUGACCACCCUGUUUUUAUUAUAUGAAUAAUAUCUUUAUCGAUCUCUUCAUCUUAUUCAAUAAAUAAUCUAAAAUACCUAAAGCUUGUACUUAAAGGGACUUUUUGUCCAUCCAACUUAAUUAUAUUUUCUUAUCUAUUCUUAGAAUCACUAAAACUGCUUUUUAUAUAUUCAGUUUUAGUCCUACUUAAUCUAAAACCUUUAGUUUCUAAGGCUUAUUUUCAUAGCUCAGGUUUAUAAUUAAUUUUACUUAGGUUCUCAUCAACUAAGACAAUAUCAUAAUAAAAUAAUAUACACUAGGGAGGUUUCUAUCGUGUAAAUGACUAGUAAUUUCAUCCUCUAUCAAUGUGAAAAGGUAAGAAAUUAAUGUGGAUCAUUGAUAUAAUCCUAUGCUAAUAGGAAACUCACUAAACAUACUCCCUAUAAUUCUAACACUAGUAGUUAUAUUUUCUUAGGGUAAUAUAAGCUGAAAAUUUUCUUUCCGAACAAAACAAUAUGGCAAAUGCAAUUAGCAAAUUAGAUCAUUAGAAAGCUAGAAGUUGCAGACUCAAAGGUGUCAUCAGCAGAGAACAAUCUUUCAUUGCAUGUUGACUAUGCUCACAAGCUGAGAUUCAGAAACAUUUUCUCAAGAUUAAAAAUCUGAUCAUCUAAGAAUCCUUCUCCGACGCAAUUAAGAAAAAAAGAUUUAGACAAAUUCAACUAUAUAAAUUAUCUCCCCAUUGGUUUAAUAACAAAAAAAGACAUCUUAUAUUCUACCAACAAAAAGAAAGAAAAUUUGCUAUAAGAACAAAACGCCUCACCUUGUUGAUAUCCAGAUCGGGCGACCAGGAACGGAGAAGUUUCAAGAAGUACUCAAACAUCUCCACCGACGACUUAAAUCCCUUCGGCCCGACAUUCGCUGCCUCCGAUUCCCUCCCGUCCCCACACCCGCCCACCUCCAGAUCGCCUCCACCUUCCCUCUUUCCGUCAACUCCAUCCGUCUUUUCUUCUUCCCAAUACCCCUCCACCUUCUGUCUCUUCAAACCACAGUCCUCCUCGUCGCCCUCUUCUCGUCCCCUUUUCUCAGUGCCGCUUCCGCUCUCGGACGGAACCUCCUCGGCCACAAGCCCGCCUCCCUCGGGGACCUGGGGCUUCUCUGCGUGCUCGUCCCCCAUGAUCGAAGAGAAGAGCUCCGCGAUCGGCGGAGGCUCCAGCUCGUAGGUUCAAUUGAUCAAACACUAACCCUAACCGGGUUUCAGGGGGCGGCCGUCCGGCCGGCCGGUACUACAAUAUAACAUACGACUUGUCACGUGAGGAGGAGGUGAUUAUCUAUUUAUUAUCCUUUUUUAAAGAAGAAAAAAAAAUACUAUAGUUAAUUAGUUAACUUGUUAAUUAAUGAACUAUAAUUUCUAUCAACAAAAUAAAAUGCAGUCAACAAAUAUUCCAUCAUGCUAAUAAUAAAUUUUGUUUCAUUUUAAUAAUAUGCUAUAAAGUGACUCUGCUAAAUAAGCUCAACAAUGUUGACUUAGUUUGAUUGCUUUGCCAAGUAUUAUUGACUUAAUUGUGGAUAAAUGUGAGACAUCCAACCAACCAUUGCCAUGUCAUGGAUAUUAUUUGUCAAUCAUUCAUGUGGUCACUCGUCCAGUCAACCAAAUACGGCAUCAAAAUCUGCCUCAUGAGAAGGCAGUAAAAGAUUCCUUGACUUUUGGGUCUACUUUAGACGAAGUCAACUUCCUUGUCUCUUCCCCUUCGUUAGUAUGUAUGCCAAAUAGUGAUCCAAUUAGCACAUCCUGCGUUUGGUCAACUUGGCAAAGUCAACCAUAAGAACAUCAAUUUGCAUUAAUGAGGUGUGCAGAAAAACUGCUCCAAGAGAAUAGCUGCUGUCUUCGUCGGUCUCAACCCUCCGCAAUUACUUCCGAAGACUGCAAUCCUAAUAACGAGAUACUGAUACAUUAAAAAUACUAAAUGAUAAUGGUCACUAACUUAGGAAAUUAUGUCAGAAAAUUCAUCCGACCUUAUGAUUCAGCAAAGUUAUUACAGAAGCUGCUUAAUUUGGAUGCUCAUAAAGCUGAAGAGACUAAGCUUAGCGGUUCCACACAUUCUCAUGGCGAUCGAUCAAGACCGGCGGUUCAGUGGUCGAGCUUCAAGACCACCGCCAGCCCUCCUCUCCAGCUUGUAAGGCAUGUGUGUUCCCAAGAUCAUGUCCCAUGUGAUGAAGAAUGGCUGCGAGAAGUUGUACUUGUUGCCGUAGAGCUGAUGAUGGACAUCAUGAUACGCGGUGUUGUUCCAGAAGAACAGGUGGAAGAUGUUCCCGGGAAGCCACAGCCCGCAGUGGUCAUCUAUCCCUUUGAUGGUGGCGAAGGAGAAGAAGAAGAUGGAGGUUCUGGGCGACAUGCCCGAGAGAAUGAAGGCGAGGCCGCCGCCGAAGGUGUCCAAGAGAAGCCCUUCUACCGGGUGGUUGUAUUGGCUGCCGAAGGAGUAUGGGACGACGAGGCGGUGGUGCCAUGAAUGGACGUGGCGGUACAAGAACUUGUUCAGGUGCAUGUAUCGGUGCCAGAAGUAUUGCCAUGUAUCGAGAACGAACAUGGCGACGACGAACUGCCUCACCAGCGAGAGAAACGAGGCCGAAUCGCUUGUGGCUGCUGCGCUGUGAUCAUCACCUGUGAUCUAUACAUGCACAAGAUGAACUCAUUGAGUGACGUUGAUAGAAAGAGAGAAAGAUCAUGGAGGCACGUUGGUGUUCGACCUUAAACACGAGGAAGGCAACAGCAGCUUGAACCAGCUGCUGGAGAAGAACUCCCUUCACCACCUGGAGCUUGGAGACCAAGUUCUUGACGUCCUCAUCUUUUCUCGAGUGCAACCGAUAGUUGUCGAGGGAGCCAAGCAUCAAGUACACGCCGGAGUAAACCCAGUAAACCAGAAUGGGCACUACAAUGGCUAAGAUCUCAUCGGAAGGCAGAGAAUACUCCAUUGCCACACAAAGCUCACGAUCCCUUGGUGGUGGUGGUGGUGGUGGUGGCUUUGCUUCUGUAGUUUAUAUAGAUCACGAAGAGCAAGUGUUUGCUCUCUCCAUCUUCUUCUGAGAGAGUCCUCCAUUAAAAGUCAGCUAAAUACAGCCGACUACCUUGAAAUUUAGACUUCCUAUAGCGUAGAACCAUUUGAAAUGAUCCAUAUAUGGCUUGGCAUUGAUGCAAUCUCGAAGGGUGCAAAGAGAAUCCAACAAGUUGGACUUGACCAAUGACCUGAGUAGAUUUGAGGUUAACAAAAGGAUUAAAUGUGUGCAAGAGAUUCAUAAUAAUUAAUUGCACGUAGUUGGCUAAUAAACAAAGAUUAGGGAACAUGCAGAAGGUAGCAGCUGCAUGCAUGGCUGUAAUAUGAACCCAAUAUAGGAAGUGAUCAAACUUAUGCACUCCAUUUUUGAACGUCAACAUGCAGUAAACUGCAAGUGGGGCUGUUUCCACAUGGUUGAAGAGUAGUAUUUUGCUUAGGUAGUCUGGAAACAGCGUACCAAGUGGUCAUAAAUAGGGGCAAUUUCCUUUGAUGUUUCAGAAGUUCUUGAGAAGACUUUGAUCCAAUAUUUCAUGAGGAGCAAACACUUGUUGACUGUUUUCCAGACACCUUAAAUUAGGUAUGUAAAAUCACAUUUUGAACAGCUUAUUGAUUUUAUAUCAAAAGUGAAAUAUAUAGUCAUUGGUCAUGUAUCCAUACAAUGUAUCUCUGUGUCAUGUAUCUAUAAGAAUAAUAUUCUUAUAAAUAUAAAAAAUCAUGUGACACCUCAGUUUGAGAUUUAAUAUUAGUAUUUUCGGUUAGUAAUUCAAAUGUAUAAGUUAAUGAAUCAGUUAUCACAUCGGAUCGAAUAUCGAUAAUAAAUGGUAUCAGAGCGUAUCGAUCAUUUGGCAUAGUAAAUUAAAGGUCAUAAGGUCGUUGAUCACAUAUCCAAAUAACCUCACAGCAUUAACAUUUCCAUGUCAGUUGCUAUAUGUUCAAAGUUGAGCUAAACAUGCUCAAAUACUAAAUCUUAGGAUGUUGCAGUCCCAGAAUGUGGAUUUUGGUCCAGGUGAUUAAGGCUUUUAUUAGAGUUCAUUCAGCAGUAAGUAAGUAUGAAUGUAUCCCUUAGAAUAAAGUGGAUUUCACUGAUCAGAAAACACUUGCUGAAGUUACUGGUGGCUUGGGCAGGAUUAAUUAUUACUGCAGUUGUGGGUUGUAUUUUUGAUCCAUUUUGGCUCUUUUGUUUGAUCUAUAUAAUUUAUGUGCAAGUUUUAUACAAUUUGUAGGACUUGUAGGUUUUUCGGUGUUCUGAAUUUUCUAUUAUGCUGAUCUAUUUUUAUUUCUGAGUAUGAUACAGAAAUAUAAUUCACAAACAUCUGAUUUCUGUAACCAAAACCAGAUCAAAUUUUUUGAGAAAAUUGUACCAUUGCUGGUGCAUCAACACAGGAAAAAAAAUGGAUAUCAGUGUAAAAGACUUGGAAAUAUGAUCAACUUAAUUAUUUUUGGAGAAUCAUUUCAUCCUUCAUAGAUAUCAUCAUUGGUUUCACUUAUGAAGAAGGAAAGGAAACUGUAGAUUACAGUGGAAUAGACUACAGUGGUGGUGAUGAUACUUGAUAGGUUGUGAUCUGUUGAGUCAUUAGGUUCCACAAAUGCAGAGCAGCAAAAGCAACAAAUUGGCUUGUCACUACUUAUGUAAGAACUUGCAGUAUGCCAUUUCACUGUGCUAAUAAUUGGACUUCCUCUGUUCAAAGAAAUUUCAACACAGGUAACAUGAAGUUGAGCCUCAUCUCUUGUCACUAGCAUGGAGGAGACAAGGAACAUGGCAUAUACCCCACAAACCAUAUCCACAUUAUUAUAUGAUGGUGGGGAAUCUCACUAUGAUGGCUAAUCUGAGAACCUUAAAUAUAAUCUUCUGAAACACUCAUGAAUGAAUUUGAUUUCUGACACUAUGAGAACAUACUAAUACUCUUGAACUUGUCCAUGAAGGUCCUCCUUACCAGUGAAGAUGUAAAGCUGUUGAUCCUGAUCUCUAUCCACUCUGUUUCCCAUUUCUAGAUAAGUGAGAGCACUUAAUCCAAUCCUAGGCUUGCAAGACCUUAUCCAAACAGUACAUAACAUUAGAUAGCUUUAGCCACAGAAACUUGCAGAUAAAGACUUAAAUGUCUACCAAAACUUCCACCUCCUGUAGAGACAUGAAUCUUAUCUUCAUAUACACAAAGGUAUAGAUUGCCCCACAAGAUAAAAUCUGAGUCUAGAUCACAUCUAAGGAAGUAAAGAACCAAAAGAUGAUGUGGGUGUCACUACAUUUCUGGUGCAACCAUACUAUCAUCAUUAUCUGCUACAAAGGUAGAUAAUACUUUUUCCUUUUCUUUUUGUGGGUCAUUGUAACAUAAUAGAAGGAAGGUCAAAAGGGCACUUGCAAUUGCAGCAGUUGCUUCACCCACUUUGCAUGACCCACCAAAGAAAAACCUUAAAAAAAUUGACAGAGGACUACUAUAAAUACCACAUCUUGUGACCCAAUCACACUGCACAAAGCUAUAAUUCAGAGUCUUCCACAGGAGCCUCAUAAACCUCUUGCUCUCGGAUAUCAUGUUGUCCAUUGGAGCCAGCUAUGCCCAGCUCCAUGUCCAACAAGAGCACUACAAGCAGAAGAUCAAGAGAAAGGAAGGGCAGCAGAAGCCCAAGGGACAGAAGAAGGGAACUGAAGGAAGAGUCCACCCUGAUGGCUCAUCACCAAGACAAGCCAAGGCUGAUCUCAACAAGUGUAACCCAUGAAAGAGAGGAAAGAUAAAGAGAGUCAUGUUUGAUGCACUUACUAUGUGUAGGUGUUGGUUGUAGAACUGCUGUUGUUUGCAAAUUAGUUGCUGGUUUAACAGGACUUAUUAUUUUGGCUUGUCCUUCUUCAAUUAUUUUCCCCUUGUUUAUUAGAUUUGGUGAAUGUUUGGAAGAAGUUAAAAGCAGCCUCUUUGCAAGCAAAAGCUUGGGGAAUAUUAAGUCCAAAUUGUAUGAAUGUUUGAAAUGGAUUAAGAUGGAUCAAAUCUUUUAGUGACCCUAAAUUAUUAUUAUUAGUUUUCUUCAUUACACUUGAGCCUAAUAUAGUAGCUAAAUCCAACAUUUAGUUUUCUUUAUAAUAUCCACUAAUUCCUCUAACCUUAUUGCAUCUGUGUCAUUAUAGAUGGGAUCAUGUUAUUAGUGAGAUAAAUAUAUAGUCCAUAUGUUAUUACAUAUAUUACUAGAUUUAGUCAAACUUAUCACUAUUAUUUGUUCUCAAGUUAUGCUUAUUCAGUCUUAAAAACUAUUAAUAUAUGGGAAUUAAUACAUUAGAGAUCUUUUCUUUUACUUCUUUGUUGCUUUUUAAAGUUGAGAAAGAGCCCCUUCAUCUUCACACCCAUGUCCUCUAGUGCUUAAAUGGCAGUGGUGAUUGGUACUAUCUCCCCCUUCAUUUUGUUUUUUUCUUCUGUCAAUCAUGCAUUGUCAUCAAGAAAUACUGAUCUUUUGCUACCCAUCUGUGUUUAAACGUUACAUGCCUGUCAAUGGUUGUCAACAAUUGCAUGCACUUGGGAGAAAUGACUGGGUUUUGUCUGUGAGGGCUGUGAGCUCAAGGUCAAGAAACACUUUUCUUCAAUGAAAUGUGUUGCCUUCUUUCAUCUUUGCAUCCACUGCAAGUCCAAUUAUACCUCACUUGUGUUCAUCCUUCAAAUUCCUCACUUGGGCCAUUCUUGUUGGUAGAUGGUUGUGGCCUCUGUCACUUGCUAUGUUGAGCCAGACAAUGUCUUUAAAGAAUGUCCGGCCUUCAGGAAAGAUGUGAGGUGAUAAAUGAUCGAUGUAAUCAUGAUGAAUUGAGGAAGUUGAUCUUGCACAAUAGGGGUUGUCAUGAAUGUGCCCAAGAGAAUCCUCAUCUGAUGCUCAAAUCAGAGUUUACUUUGAGGUAAAGAAAAGACUACAUGAAAAAUACAAUAAAAAUUCAGAGAAACAAAUGAUAUUUCUACCUUAGAAUGAGUCUUCUUUUAUAGAAUCAAAGCUUGCUAGGUUGUUGUGGAAGAUUCUAUCAAUCCAUUGAUAGAAUAAUUUCUUGUCUUGAUUUAGACAUAACAUAACAAAUAACCUGAUUGGACUAUGAUAUAAUGACAGAAUCUGUGUUGAAUGACUAUAACCAUAUGAUCCACAUAUCACUCUAUGAUUGGUGUGAAUUAUGAUGUCUGUUUUUAGCAAAGAAACAUGGUAGAGAAAAAUUAGGAGGAUUCUUUCCUCGACCACAUCUGAUCUCUUAGCUCCACAUUGUUCACACAAUAUUGCACAUGUAAAUAAAGUUCCCUGUGUUAGAUUGACCUUUCACCUUUCAUUGAAUGAGUUGUAGCCUUAGUUGAAAGGAGGAAUGGGUUUGGGGCUAGUCUACUUCAGUGUGCCAGAUAGGAAUGAAUUGUAGCUGUGUACCACUUUGAGGAGGCCAUUCUGAAAGCUUCCUUCAUUGCUAUUACCUGUGACUAAGAAAGCAGUUUGAGUGAAGUAAUCAUAUAAAAAAGCUUUCCAUUUAUUUUUCUCUUGGUCAGAUUCCUGCUGAUAGAAAUUUUCAUGCUCAGUGCAGGAAAUUGCUGAAGAUAUUGUAGGCCUCUGAACAAUACAAACAUUAGGAUACCAGGAUGGGUGCAUGCAAAUUUAUGAAUCAUGCAGGAAUGAUUUAUACAAUUCAAAAUCUAACUUGAGAGAUGAUCCGAUACCCCAGCGAUAACUAGCUUUUUUUUUUCUUUUCCAUUUCUUUUUUUUUUUCUUGUAGUGCAUCACAUUAGGAAAACUGCUGAGGCGUAGAACUUUUCAGUAAAGCUUCUCAUAAUUUCUUUACAAUCAUAAGAUGCAGUUCUGCAUAGCUAAUUUCUAUCAUAUUUUUCUUUUUAUUUUCUUUUAUUCUCUCAAUAAUGACAUAACUAUUCCUUAACUAGUUGGCUGUACAUCAAUCCAUCAUUUUCUCCAUGUGUUUUGAUGAGUUUGAUUAAGCGAUAAUUCUAUACGUUUUUCUUUGUUAUUUCUUUCUUAUUGCCCUUGUAUGAUUAUUCCUAUUUUUCUUUUUCUUUUUGUAAAUCAUUCCAAAUUUGAAGGGGGAAAAAAAUCACAUGUAACACUUACAUGACAUGAGGAGUCCAAAGUUAUGACUCUUUAAUGAAGUAUAGCCUUUUGUAUUUGGACCUGCUUGAUGCCCUUUAAAUGAGCACAACUGUUUGAAGACAUUUAAGUUUAAUGUAGUUUAGCCUUACAUGAAGAUAUUGAGAGGACAAAAUUAAUCAGAAAAAAAUAUUUAGGACCACCAUCUGCAGAUGUCUUAAUACUGUGGUGGAAGAUAAGCCCAGUAAACCUGAUCAUGUCACACCAAGAUAAUGUCUACAACAAAGCCAAAGAUUUACUAUAAAGAUAAAAAAGCCAAAGUUUGAAUAUUCUUAAGACCUAUGACAUUUACAAUUUGCAUGAUACUUUUUGCAUAUAUGAUGUAUUUGUACUAAUUUCCAAGCAUGCCAUUGUUGAGAAAUAUACUUUUUAAUCCUUAUAAUAGAUAUUAUUAAAGUAGAAUAAUAAUUAUACAAAAUAAUGAAGGAUAAUGAGUUAUUGAUCAUCUUUUAAUGGGAUCCUCAUAAAAGUUAAAUUAUGAUUGUUACAAUAAUCAAGGCUUUAAAUUUUGAUUUGAUGCUAAUUAUAGUUUUCGAUGAAGUUGGCAUGAAACUGUUAUAUCAAAGUGUAUGUUGAUACAUCAUUAACUAAAAUAAUAAAAAUAAUAUCUCUGGAUAUUGAACUAUAUAUUCUAAUAUCACUGCUUGAUUGAACUGGUAAAUACCAGUUGAUAUAUAUUAGUCCAAUAAAUAUGAUCUUUACUUAGAGAGAUUCCAUGGUUCAAUCACUGCUAAUUAUGAGCAAUCUGAAUUGGAUGCCUGAGCAGGUGAAGUUUUGCAUCCACUUUCAUUGGUCUAACAUUGAAGCCCUGAGGGUUUGGUUGAAAGGCAUUGCUGACUUUGCAAGGUCAUCCCUGAAAGCAACUACUAGUAUGACAGACAGCCCCAUUUAUUGCCCAAGUUCUUCAAAGUCUCUUGUUUCACAUAGAGCCAUUUGUUCAGUCUAUUGAUGUUAUUGUUUCAUUAGUUGAAAAGUCUACAAGCUGUGCCAAAACCUUCUUAGUGAUGAAGUCUAGUGGGCAGUUUCUUUGAAGUUUCAGCCAUAAGUGUUAUAGUCAAAAGUUUUUGUUCUUUUUGCCUAUCAACCUGACUUUAUGGACAUAGAUUGACAAUAGGUUGCUCACAUGAUCAUAUGAGCAAAUUGGCAUCCUUGAAUUGAUAUCCUUCAAAUCCAAAAGAGGACCAUUUCAUAAUAAAAUGUGUCCCAGGGGGCCCUCUCUGCACAGGAAUUAUGAUCAGUGAAAGUCAACAUCAAAGAAACAAAAGUAUUUAAUUGCACUGAUGAAGCUGCACCCUUCUAUGUAUGGAAGGCAUCUUCUCAAGCUGCGCAAAUCAGUAAACACCAAACAAUAAACAAGCAAGAAGAUUGCUGUUGGAUCCUGUUCAGAUCCAUCAUUGAGGCCUGCUGUCAAAAUGCAAUGAAUGUGGACAGGUUUGGACUCUUCUUCCUCUUUCUAAGUUCUGUGUGAUGUUCCUGAUCACUCAUUGCCACUAGUUGAGGAGGUAUAAGAUGGUAGGCUGCUAGCAACCAAUAAGAGAGGAAAAAAGAAACAACUGGGUUGACUCAGUUAGGGUCUUCGAAAGACCCUUUACAUACAUCUUAGAUAUGAUGAUUAUUGUAGGGGUGAAUCCUCUCCUCACUCUUUAUGGGAAUCUUGGGGAUACUGGAGGAUCUGAGGAUGAAACCAAGGAAGAAAAGAGGAGAAAAAAGCAACAUUGGGUGGUGGAGAGAAGUUGUUUGGGGGCCUUCAGCAGUGGCUCCUGUUUGGAAAGGUGUUUUCUUUUUGUCAUUCAAUCUUCUUUUUGGUUUCUUUCUUGUGUUCCCAUUUAGUUACUUUUUUCAUAGCAUAUGUGAAUGCUAAAAGGUCCACUUCCAAGAUGAAAGGGAAUCAAGGGAGCUUUGGCUUGUGGAUUCUUUUAGUGGUUUCUGAUACUUGGUCUCUGAAGUAGCAUUUGUAUGCUGUUCUGACCUAAAACAGGCUUGUACUUCUUCUGGUGCAUGAUUUGUGUUCUGCUCUAGUUGAAGUUCAUUCUGGACUUAUUCCAUGGUGGUGGUUUCUUCUGUUCCUUGUGCAUCAUUCCUUGAUCCCUGUUAAAUGGGUUACAGAGUAUAUCUAUUGAAGCUUUUAAUGCAACUAUGCUGUAAUUUUUUUUUCUAACCAAUGACAUGCUCCAUUGACUGAAAAUGUUUUGAAGCAUUGAGAUGCAUAAUUCAAACACCUCCUCAGCCUUCCUUGUCCUUUUGUACUACAUCUGACUUCUGAAAGUGACACAAUUCUAGUUUGUUCUCCCAAGAUUUGCCCACAUUAUUAGAUUUAUUUAGUGGACUUCUUUCUGAAGAUAUCAUAUGAACCUUCAGAAGUGCCUGGCAAAGAAAUUUUUGAAGACCCCUCUGCAGAUCUCUUAUAUAUUGUUAUAACAUGAAUCAUGUUUCAAUCAUGAUAACCCUAAAGAAGUAUAAUGCCACCCAAUAUCUUGAUCUAUAUGUAUGUAUGAUGUAGAUUAACUGACUUGGAUGAGUAGUUUGACCAGGACUAGUAUUGGAUGCUUUCAAGGAGGAAUUAACUGUUCAUGAGAAAAUAAUCUCUUACUAAUGUUAUUUCACUAUCUUGAAUGUGGUUUAUACUUUAUACCAGGAUAUCUUGCUCAGUCCUAUAUAUGGACAAUUGGACAUCAACUAGUUCUCAUGAGAAUUAAGUCCUUGGUCUUUUGCCAAUUGUAGAUGCUGUGUUAGCUUCUUUGAUCCCAGUCUCUGAUCUGUUUAUAUUUAUUAUGUUCAUGCUGAUGUAUACUAUCUUCCAGAGGGAAAGAAAAAGUUAGGAAUAAAUGUUUUAAGUUACAUUUUUGUAUCUUUCUUCUAGGUCUGGUCAUUGGCACAUAUUUGUCUUCAUGUCUUUUGCUAGUUGAACAUGUUGGAUUGAUACAUUUUGGCUUGUUUGCUUGGACAGCAACUGAUAAAAGUGAUUCAACCUGUAGUGUCUGUCUUGAUUCUUUCUGUGCUAACUGCUGAAAUUUCAACAACUACUACGUUGAUUUCUAAGAAGUCCUUACUUUUGCAGGCUAAAAGUUGCUGCCCCCCAAAUCCAGCAAUCCUGCUUCUUUAGUUAAACAAGCCAAUGAUGGCGCACUCUGUCUCUGAUGAAGUUGAGAGCAAGGAUAUUGAGAUGGCCAAUCAUUCUUCCUCCCACAGGCAGACCGAAAAUCACAAAUCUGUGCACAAGGUGGGACUGCCACCUCGGAGGAACUUCAUCGGAGAAUUCUCUGAAACGUUAAAGGAAACAUUCUUCUCAGAUGAUCCUCUACGGCCUUACAAGGACCAGCCUAGAUCAAGACAGCUGGUGCUGGGCCUUCGGUUCUUGUUUCCAGUCCUUGAGUGGGGAAGAAGCUACAAUCUUAGUAAGUUCAAAGGAGAUGUUAUUGCUGGAUUGACAAUUGCUAGUCUUUGUAUCCCUCAGGUAUUCAUCCCUAAUAGCACAAUUAAAUGAAUUCGUUCCUAUGUUAGACUAAAUUACUGAAACCUGAUAUUUUCUAAACCAGGACAUAGGAUAUGCUAAGCUUGCCAACAUGGAUGCAAAAUAUGGGCUAUGUGAGUUCAGUUAUACUGCUUUGGAUAAUCAGAAUUAAAGUUUUAUGUUCUUUGUUAUGAGCAAUUGUUGCUUUUUCUCUUUUGCAGAUUCCAGUUUUGUUCCACCACUAAUUUAUGCAGUGAUGGGUAGCUCAAGGGACAUUGCUAUUGGACCAGUUGCAGUUGUGUCUCUCUUGCUUGGAACCCUUCUUCAGAAUGAAGUAGAUCCUGAGAAAAAUAAGGAGGAUUACCGGCGGCUUGCAUUUACAGCAACUUUCUUCGCCGGUGUCACUCAAGCAGCACUCGGAUUUCUGAGGUAAAUGCUCCUUAUAGUUAUUGUAAUUGGUGUUUUAGAUAUGGAAAUGUAACUUUAUAUUAUCUGAUAUCACAGAUUAGGCUUUCUCAUCGAAUUCCUCUCUCAUGCUGCAAUUGUUGGGUUUAUGGGAGGGGCUGCCAUUACAAUUGCUCUCCAGCAGCUAAAAGGAUUUCUUGGAAUCAGGAAGUUUACCAAGAACACAGAUAUCAUUUCAGUUAUGAAAUCUGUUUGGGGUUCAGUCCAUCAUGGGGUAAAGCUACUAACUCAGUUUAUUAUGUCUUAGGAUGGGGCUUCUUUGCUGAAUCUUACUCGAUUUUGUUAAUUUUGCAGUGGAACUGGGAGACGAUAUUGAUAGGGACAAUGUUUUUGGCAUUUCUUCUUUCUGCAAAGUACAUUGUAUGUGCUUAAUUCUCAUUUGAAGAAGCUUUCAAGAACAAGACUUGUAUAUUUAAUUUACCUCUUCCAGUGAUACUGUUCAAAUUCUACAGGGAAAGAAAAAUAGGAAAUUUUUCUGGGUUCCUGCAAUUGCGCCACUUAUAUCAGUUAUCCUAUCCACAUUUUUCGUGUACGUCACCCGGGCUGAUAAGCAUGAUGUCCAGAUUGUAAGUUCUCAGCAAUCAGUUAUCUGUUUGAAUUAAAACUAAACUUUUAUUAAAUAUGAUGACCAAAACUGGUUCUGUUAUUGAUCUAUGAAAGGUGAGAAAGAUAGAUAGGGGACUCAACCCAUCAUCUGUUAGUCAGAUUCACUUCAGUGGUUCUUAUGCCGCAAAAGGAUUCAGAAUUGGAGUGGUUGCUGGAUUGAUAGCUCUGACAGUACUUAACCUCUAAACUCAAGUCCAUCUUUCUCGAAGAAAUCUAUUUUUGAACUACUUGUAACAAAUAGGGUAAAUCUGUAGGAAGCAAUAGCAAUUGGAAGAACAUUUGCUUCCAUGAAGGAAUAUCAAUUGGAUGGAAACAAGGAAAUGGUUGCUAUAGGAACCAUGAACAUAGUUGGUUCAAUGACAUCUUGCUAUGUAGCAACAGGUAAACAUAUAAGAUCAAUGCUUGAAGGAGUUAUUUCUGAAUUAGAGAAUCACCAUGAACAUUAAAUACUCGAAAACAUGUAUUUGGUUGCAGGUUCCUUUUCACGUUCGGCUGUCAAUUUCAUGGCUGGCUGUCAAACAUCUGUGUCCAAUAUUGUCAUGUCCAUGGUAGUGAUGCUUACCUUGCUAGUGAUCACACCCCUCUUCAAGUACACCCCGAACGCGAUACUCUCCUCGAUCAUUAUUUCAGCUGUGAUCAGUCUUAUCGAUUAUGAAGCAGCAUUUCUUAUCUGGAAGGUUGACAAGCUCGACUUUAUUGCAUGUAUGGGAGCCUUUUUUGGUGUAGUUUUUGUAGAUGUUGAAAUUGGCCUCUUGAUUGCUGUAAGAACCUCGAUUGCUUGUUUCCCUCUUUUCGAACUGCUGAAAGGUUCCUUUUUGUGUUUGCUGAUAUCAAUUGCCAUGGAUUUCUUUUUCUCUCCUGCACAAAUAGGUUUCUAUAUCGCUUGCGAAGGUCCUUCUGCAAGUAACAAGGCCAAGAACAGCUUUACUCGGGAAUCUUCCUUCGACAAUGGUAUACCGAAACAUCGUACAAUACCCAGAGGCAACCAAGGUUCCGGGAGUUUUGAUAGUUAGAGUUGACUCUGCUAUCUACUUCACAAACUCUAACUAUGUCAAGGAGAGGUAAAUCUUUAUAACUCAGAUGUUACUAAUUAUAGUUGCUAAUUCAGAUUGGUAGCACAUCUUUAAGCUAGAAUAGCAUGAAGAACCCACAGAUCUCAGUUGGACAUAGUUUAACUGUACAUUAGGACCCAACAGCAAAGUGAAUAAAUGUCAGGACUUUUACUAAACUCACUAGAAGUCAUUCUAAUGAGUUCAGUACAUAAAUCUCAGGAACACAUUGACUGAACUCAGGAACAUCACCAGGCCAAUUUUCUUUGAUUCUUAAAAUUUGUGUGUUUACUUUUUACUUUAAAACUGGAUUACUAGAAUCUAUCAUUGCAAUGGUUGUUCACCUAUUGCAGGAUCCUGAGAUGGUUAAGAGAUGAAGAAGAGCAACUGAGAGCAGAAAAUCUACCCCAAAUAAAUUUCUUGAUAGUCGAAAUGUCGCGUGAGGAGCCCCUUACAUUUAUUUCUCAUUCUUAUUGUACAAUCUUGAUCUGAUAUUUACGACAUCGAUCUUUUCGCUGCCUGAUUGUAUGUGCAGCUGUGACAGACAUCGACACAAGUGGCAUCCAUGCCUUUGAAGAACUGUAUAGGAGCCUCCAAAAACAUGAAAUCCAGGUUAGUACCUUAUACAACAGCCGAAGUAGCAUUGAUAACACUGUUGUUUCAAAAGAAAAUGGAAGAUCAGUGAAGCUUACAAGUAUUUACAUCUAUUCUUCAGCUUGUUCUUGCAAAUCCCGGCCCAGUGGUGAUUCAGAAGCUCCAUUUAGCCAAGUUCACAGAGCUCAUAGGCCAUGACAAGAUAUUCCUCUCGGUUGGAGAAGCUGUGAUGACUUGUACUUCAAAGGCAAGGGAAGAUUCAUAAGGUAGACAUGCCACCUACAAUUAGCACAUAUCAUGUGAGUUUUCGUGGAGAGGGUCACUUAGUGUUUCAGGUUCUGGAACACAGAACAGAGAGAAGGAUUUAUGUGUAAAGGUUCAUUCUCGGAUGAACUGAAGAGGUAACUACAAGAGCUUAUGUUUCAUCUAAAAUAAAAGGAGCAGUAACCAGAAAGAGCUUAUACAAAGGAGUUGCCGCUGAUUGUGUACUACCUCAUUUUUUUGAAUCUGAUGAAAUGAACCUGAAGCUGUCUUCGGUCUCCCUCAAGAAAUGUUGGAUGAAUAAGAAUGAGAAUGAUAGCUGUAGCAUUAUGAAAGCAUUAUACCAUAGAUAAGAGGUGAAGGAAGUGGAGUCAGGGAGCAGGUGAAUGUUGUGGAUAGCUUGAAUUAUUGAGGUGGGGUUGAGGACUUGUUCAUGUUGUCCACUGCAAAUUUUAUAUGCUGAUGAAUUAAAUUACUGGGUUGCAGUGACAUGCAUUGAAUCUAUAAAAUUGUUUUCACUCUGGAGGUGGAUGUUGCUGUCGAUCAGACAUUAUUAGCCCUUUUAUAGUGUAUAAAUAAUUCUUCUUUCCACUUGGCUGACAACAGAUAAGUAAUAUGAGUAAAGUGAAAUGCAUCAGUGGAAACCUUUGACUUGCUACCAAUGUUUUGUGCAACAGAUCUCACAAACUUGCAUGAAUAGACUAAUAUCAGUCACUUGUUUUGCCAUUUGUUAGUGCUAUUCACUGUGCCACCAUAUGAAUGGAUAGAAUUUAUUUUUCUUGAUGUGCUGAUAACAGUUUUCAUUUGUAAAUUAGCUUUAUGUGGCACAAAACAGAAAUGGGAUUGCCAAAGUCAGAGAGGUUUGACAUUUUAGCACUUUAGACUUUAUAUCAGAUGUUGACUCAUGACAGAAAUAACAAAGUUCUUAUCUAACAGAGAAAAAUCUAAUUCAAUUCUUGGUAUUCUACCAACUGGAACAAUUUUUUCCUCUAUUUAAGAACUCAGAUGAAGCCUUAUAAUUAGCUUCUGUUCUUAGAUUGACAUCCAAAAAAAAAGAUCAUAAUUAAUCUCUGGUCCAUUUAAGCUUUCUAUGAUGUAAAUCUUAUCGAUAUCUUGACAUUUAAUAUGAUGAUGAGCAGGUAGUCACCAUUGCCAAAAGUUCUGAGGAUUAUAUUACACCUUCACAUUUUUUUUUAUGGUGGAUAAUGAUGCAGACACUCGCAUGCUUAUUGUUUUAGAGAAUUAGAAGACAUGUAAGCUUGUGAAUGGAGUCCACCUAAGACUCCUUGGAGUUCAUGAAAUCAUGCUGAAUCCAAGUAAUAUCUGAAUACUUUCUUUCUUAGGGAAACAGGACCUUAAAAGUCUCUUCCUCAUCUUGGAUCAACUCAGAGAUUCUUUACCAGUGAAGGAAGAAUGUUCUCAUCUCUGUUCUAAAGAUGUCAAAGUGGAUGAUUGAGUUGCUGCACAACAGAAAAAUCACAUGAAACUUAUAUGAAUAGUAUUCCAUGAUUGAGACAGACAAUUACAUAAAAUUCCAAGAAAUUGUUUCAUUAAUGUUUUCUAUGUAUCGACUAGCAGAAUUGUUGAACUCUGGAUUCAGAUCUGAGAUGUAAAGAUCAACAAUUCCAAUCAGGAGAAAUCAAAAUACCAUGCCUGUAAUUACUGGAGCAAUUUGACUCUUCAAACCCAAUCAAAACACCUCUAUAAAGAAACAAAAAACCCAAACUUUUGAAGAUGAUGAUCCUGGGUUGGACAAGAACAAGGUCACUGAUACAAGAGGUGCAAUCACAAAACUUGGAGAAAUGAAGGCACCUCCUCAGGAUCAAGAGUCACUUGGCCUUUGAAGUUGGCAGAAGACUAUUUAGGCAUCAGUCUUUCCACCCAUCCACAGCCCAUAGGAACUCAAAAGCCAUUAGAAGAACCACCAAAAGCACACCUUUUACACAUUCUAAGAAGGCAAAAUGGCUUGCUUACAUACUAUUUAAGCAUUCCUUUUACAGUCAGUCAUCUCCGUCCUCCAUUAAUUCCUCUCUCUCUUCCAUUCUGCUGCUUCAGCCCAUAGGAACUUGAGAGCCAUUAGAAAAACCACCAAAAGCACACCUUAUUUAAGCACCCCUGUUACAGUCAGUCAUCUCCAUCCUCCAUUAAUUCCUCUCUCUCUCUCUCUCUCUCUUCUCCUGUUUCAGCUAUGUCUCGAUCCUACGAACGUCUGCACCUUAAAUGUGAACUAACCAACAUCAAAUUGACCAAACUCAACAGCCCUGACUUCGUCGGAAACCUCUUCAUAAGAUGCUACGUAAAUGCCGGUGGUGGGCGGAGGAUCAUGAUCGACUCCUGCGACGUGCCACCAACCGGCGAUCCGACAUGGGAUAGGAUGGCUUCGGUGGAGUGCAGUGGGUCCUCCCGCCACGUGCGUGACCUCCUCGAGCGGCACGGCAUCGUGUUCGAGCUACGAGGACGCAGAAGCGAUCGGAGGCAAGCGGCUGAGGCAGCCUCGUGCUCCGAGCUCCUGGGCACAGCCGAGGUUCCAUGGCGAGACAUCUGUGGACCGACUGAAACGUCGGUGCACAGACAUGUCAGUCUCGUCAUGGCUGGCGGCGCGCACGUCGGUGACACGCCGCCGGAGGUGGUGGUCUACAUGGCGGUUCGAGUGUCCAAGGUGGGGAAGGUUGGCAAGAGGAUGGAAUGGGAGGAGGGAUGUGAAUGGAGUGUGGGUGAGGAGGACGUGUUUGCUGCUGCUGCUGCUGCAGUUGUGGAUGAUGCAUUCUAGCUAAUCCUUGUUCACGACAAGCACUGCUCGACAAUUCUCUUAAUGCAAGUCAUCUGUUUUCUUGUACUAUUUCCUUUCACAUAAGCCAACAAAAGAAAUGCUAACUUAAUCUCUCAUCACACAACAACUGAUGCUUCUGAAACAUCAAAGCACAAGAAGUGACAACAACAAUGAGGAUCUUAAGCUCCCCAGGGAAUGAUACUCUCAUGAUACUAUGUUCUAUCCAUAGUUUGGAUCUUCCUCUACUUGUACUCAUCUUAAUUUUUCUCUUUAUCACAUGUUUUUUCCUAUAAAUCCAAUAUAUAUCAUAUUAUAUCAUAUCUAUGUACAAACAUUAAAUAAUAGAAAACAAAAACAAGAACGAAAGCAGAAGCAAAAGCAAAUCCAGGGGUUUAAUGUUGUCGUUUCACCUCCGAAGAUAUAGUAUAAAAAAGGGAAAGCAAAAAGCAAAAAGCAAAAAAACAAAAACAAAUCACCCACCUACCCACACCUUUUAUAACGCCUCUCCCCGACCCAACCAAUGCUUUCUCAGUCCGCCAUCUCUCUCUCUCUCUCUCUCUCUCUCUCUCUCUCAUUGCCUGCUCCUCCUCUCUCCAAGUGCUAACUCUAACCCUAGAAAACGCCUCCCAUUCUUGUAGUUUCUCACAUCCAGUGGUAUCAGUCUCGCGGCGAUGCACGAGCUGGAGGUCCGUUUCCGCGGUUCCAUACUCCCCAGGAUCUGCAUCCCGGACGAGGCCUCGGAUCCGCCGCCUCUCUUCGCCGCCGGAGGCUGCCUCUUUCUCGAGCCCUAUGCCUCCGAAUCUCUGGUUCGAUCGCGGUGUUCCCGCGGAAAGGCGGUCCCUUUCGGCGGAAUCAGGUGGGAAGGGGCUGCCGCGGUGAAUGGGUUCGUGUCGGUGAGUUUGUCGGUGAAAGGGAGCGAAGGCCUCGUGCGGGAGUCGGUGGAGUUGUUGGGGAAGGUGGAGGAGAGGAGGUCGGAGGCGCCGGCAUUGGAGGGGGAGGAUGAGAGGAGGUUGGAGACGGUGGCAUCGGAGGGGAUCGUGGAGGAUGGAGUGUUGGUGGUUCUGGGGGAGGAGAAGAAGAACAGGGACAAGAAUGGUAGGUUGCAGGAGGAAAGAACCGGUGUGAUGAACACCACCAAGCAUCUUUGGGCUGGAGCUGUCGCUGCAAUGGUUUCGAGGUAACGAAGAGCAUCAUCUUUAUUGAUUCCUCUUUUCAAUUGAUUUGAGGGAAUGCAUCUUCAUACUUCAAUAAAAUGAUAUUGCUCACGGAUCGUAUGACUUCCAUAGGCUACUCCUUUUUUAUCCCUAAAAAAUGUUCUUUUAUUUGUGGUGAUUAUCCAUAUGUCUCUGUUGUGUUUGGACUUUUUUUUCUAUAGGAAUAACUGAGCUAAACAAUGUAACAUAGCAUAUUUUAACAGGCCAAAAUGAGAAACAUGUUCCUUAUGGAAAGAGCUGUAGCUGACACUUAGUGGUGGUAAAUAAUCUGUAGCCUUUGUAGUUUAAUUCCUAACAAAUUAAUCAUAUUUAAUUCUCAACCAACAAUAGUGUGAUUCAGUUAAAAACCACAUGUGUUUUGUUUACCCCAAGUGGUAUAUGAAUUCCUUUGAAGUAUUUGAAUUUUUAAAUCUCAAAACGUUAAGUGACUUGGAUCACCCUGAGAUUCUUUACAUUAUUGGUUGAUGAAAUUAGUCUUUCGGAAGUUGGGUAUUCAAAUAAGGAUCCUUGAAUUGUGUUUUUCAUUGCAUGAAAAUAGUGUUAUCACAUUUCUAACAUGGCCAGAGGAUUAUGACUUCACCGAGGAUUAACAACUAGUCAACCUACUGGGAGAUACGAUCAAAACUGUUUAGAUAAUUCAUUCGACUUAUGAGUGAGCCAAUCAACAAAGUGGAAUUUGUGAAAGAUUAGUACAAAAAUAUUGAUGUAGCACCCAAUGUUAGGUCCCAUACAAGACAUGACAGUAGGCUCAUAUUGCGCUGAAUGCUUUGACUGAUAUUAGAUGUCAUACAAAGUGGAAUAAUGCAUGGACAACUAAAAGCUUCUUGUUGUAUUUAUGAAAAAGAACUGAAGGUUUUGUUCAACGAAAACUUUGUUGACAAACUGUGCCAAAAAAUACAUUAGUAGGAUUCACUUGCCUGACUUGGAUAUCACAAACCUCACAUCUUAUUGAUGCCUGUUCAAGGAAAGUCAAUUUGCUUCUUGUUGUCCCAUUUCCUCUGCUAAUUUGUUGAGAAUUUUUGUGAAUUUGGUGAUUUCUUGAUUAUAUUUAUGUGAAAAUUGAUAAGCUUUUCUUACCCUACAUGAAGGUUUCAAAUGUUCUUAUAAAAAGAUUAUUAGAAUGUCAACUUGUUUAGAAUCAUCUCAAGAUUUGAGAUUUAACAUAAUAACAAGCAACAUAUUCAGUCUCUAAUAGUAGAAGCCAAUCUAAAUUUGCUUAACUAUUUUUUCCCCCUUAAUCUUGCUUGCUAAUCUCUGAGUAGCAUCAGCUUGUUACAACAUCUCCUGAAAAUGAACUUCUGGUGUAUCAGAACUUUUGUUGCUCCUCUUGAGAGGCUAAAAUUGGAGUAUAUGGUUCGUGGUGAACAGAGCAAUCUAUUUGCCCUCAUUAACAAAAUUGCAGCCACCCAAGGUUUGAAGGGCUUCUGGAAAGGAAACAUGGUCAACAUUCUUCGUACUGCUCCUUUUAAGGCAAUUAACUUCUACGCAUAUGACACAUAUAGAAAGCAGCUACUUGAAUUAUCUGGAAAUGAAGAGACCACAAACUUUGAGAGGUUCGUUGCUGGUGCUGCAGCUGGCAUUACAGCAACUAUUCUUUGCAUACCAAUGGACACAGUAUGUCAUUGAGUUCUUCUUAAAUUUAAAAUAAGUAUCACAAUAUGCUCUGGUUUUCUGGGAGUAAUUGCACCAAGCUUUUGGAGAUAGAAAUCACUUACUAUUCAGUUUCUGAGAAAGUUACAAGAGAUGUGCUUUAUAAGAUCUAAUUCCUCUCCUCUGAUGGUUUUUAGUGCUUUCUCCGUGAUGCCUACUUCUGAUAUCUGAGUUCUGAAUUUUCAGAUUCGAACGAAGAUUGUAGCUCCUGGAGGUGAAGCCUUUGGUGGUGUUAUAGGUGUUUUUCGGCACAUGGUUCAAACAGAAGGAUUCUUUUCUCUUUAUAAGGGACUUGUUCCAUCUCUCAUUAGCAUGGCACCUUCAGGUGCAGUUUUUUAUGGUGUCUAUGAUAUAAUGAAGGCAGCUUAUCUGCAUUCACCGGAAGGGAGGAAGAGGUUGGCUUUAAUGACACAACAGGGUGAAGAAGCGAAUGCAUUGGAUCAACUAGAGCUGGGAUCCACAAGGACAUUGUUGUAUGGGGCCAUCGCUGGUGCUUGUGCUGAAGCUGCCACAUAUCCCUUUGAAGUGGUCAGGCGACAAUUGCAGAUGCAGGUUCGAGCAAACAAAUUGAAUGCUUUGGCAACAUUUAUGAAGAUAGUUGAGCAAGGUGGCAUCCCUGCACUGUAUGCUGGCGUGAUUCCCAGCUUGUUACAGGUACUCGUACUGUGUAUUUUCAGAAUCUUCUCAUUGUUUUCCGUAUCAAUCUGUGAUAAGGUAUUAUUUUCAGAAUCUUCUCAUUGUUUUCCCAGGUUCUGCCAUCUGCUUCCAUUAGCUACUUCGUAUAUGAGAUUAUGAAGAUAUUGCUGAAGGUGGAGUGAGUACUAACUCAAUCGCUCAUCACAAUUUAAAGCAUUUGGGGUGACUAUUUCUUUUUUCCCCCUCUGUCCUCUUCUUUUAUUACUCUUUUUCUCUAAUGGACCAGCAAGAUAUAGUUCACCCUGGAAUCAAAUUGUUUACCCUCCUGUAUUCCAAGGAGGGGCAUUCAGACUCUUUUACAUUCUAUGGAGUACAGCAAUGGCUUUGGUUUCAUAGUAUGUUAAAACCUGUCAAGUUUGUCUUCCCCCUUCCUUUUGAGUUCAUAAUUUGUUCCACAUCUUCAUCUAUCAUCUGCAUGUAUUAGCAAUGACAAUGCUCCUCUGUGGCAUAUGAUGGGUUAAUGAGUGGUUUGCCCACUUGCCCUCAUUUAGCUACAAGCUCUAGUUAAAAUUUUUACACAAGUAUGCAAUUUGGCAAUGACAACUUGUAUCAUGUGGCAUCCAGAAUUCUUGUUCCAAUAACAAGAAUGGACAUAAUAGCUGUUGCACCAAUCACCACUAGCUGUAGGCCCAUAGUGAUCAUAAUGGUUGUUGAUUAAUAUAGCAUCAAAUACUUAAAUCCCUCGGAUGUCAUUGUCAUUAGCAUCCAUUAUGUACCAUAGUGAUCAUAAUGGUUGUUGAUUAAUAAAGCAUUGACCACUAAAUUUCAGACCAUAGUGGCUAUUGAUUAAUGCAGCAUCAAAUACUUAAAUCCCCCAUAUAUCUCGUUGUAUUCUAUGAUUGCUAAUAAGUUAUUAAAAUAUUUAAAAUAGGAAAAAGGCCUAUGAACAAAAACUUAAAUUUAUUGGGACAAGACAUAAUAAGUAGGAAUAUAUGUAAUAUUCAUAAAGGUUAUUAAUGUCAUUAGGAGUUUGGUCAAUGGACAGAGAUUAACCACAAUUAUGCAUAUGCAAUGUGCUGAAGGUAAAUUUAGGUAAGUGAAAACAAAAUUCACUAGUUUUGGAUGAAGAUGUAUGCAAUUUUGCCCCCAAAUACACUGAAGAUUUUCCUAUAAAUUGUUCAAAAUAAUGGAAGUGAACUCAUCUGGCUACUAUGCAAAUGGAUAUAUGCAAAUAAGCCAACAUCUUUCUAACAAUAUUGUUUGAACUUAAACAUUACAGUUAGUUCCCAAAUCUUCAUUUAGGUUCUGCCAGGAACAGAUAAAGAAGACAACAACAUGCACUUUCAUGACUUGUAAGUAUUGCUACAUAUUACAUAAUUGCAAAAUCGAGAACUCCUUUUAGCAACAUCUGUAGACAAUAUAGUUUGAACAUUCCAGAUAAUUCCCAAACCUUUACCAAUUACAUCCCAUUAAGAGUAAUAACAAUUUUGCGAGGAGUUGCAUGAUCCCUAUGUUCACAAAGCCAUAUUCCCUGUAGAAGAACAAGAAGUGUUGAAUUAGGUCCUCUACUGAUCAAAAAGUCGAUAACUAUCUGCUUCGGACAUAGGCACCAUAGAAUGACAAACUCUUCCAUGUUUUGCCUAUACACUCAUGUGCUAUGCUGUAUCAAUGAUCCACAAUACAGAAUGUAUCAUUCAUGAUGCAUCCUUUACUGGUGCUUUAGUAGCGAAUUGGUAAUGAUGUGGCUCUAAUAUGAGUUUCUAGGAUAAGUAGCAACUCCACAGUAAAAGAAAUACAUAUUAGAAACUGUAUCUCACCUGCCAAGUUCCCAUAUUUAAACGACCAUCAGUAAUAGGAAUCCUGGAUGUAGAUGAAGCAGUCUUAGCGGCAUACAACUUUGGAAAAUUGAUGAAAUCAUAAUACAAAAUGAACUGAAAACAUACGUGAGGGCACAACCAAACAUAGAUGAUUUUAUAUGUGCCGGCAUAUCAUCAGGUCCUGCAAAAUGUCAAAUGAAUCGAGAAUUAUUAGAUGCUAAGCAAGCUAUCAAAAAGUCCCCAUCUCUUACUGCCGGAGAAAACCCACUAGUUGGAGUGAUGCCUUGAUCACAAACAAUAAACAUUAGCACUGACCUUACACCAAAAACCAGACCAUCCAAAACUAGCUAGAUUGGAAGUAUCAUUUGGUUAGAUUUGUUCAUAUGGGAGCCCUGUUUGAGUGAGAGAUGAUGUUGUGCAUGAUACUUGACCCAAGAAUGAGAUAACAAAGUUACUUCAGUUGGACAGGCCUUGUUCUCAUCUUUCAUUUUACUUGACUUGGACAUACAUUUACUUCCAUUUUCCAUUGUAGUAAAGGCUCAUGAUCCUACUUGGAAUCACUUAAGAAUGGGUUUCAGACUUUGUCCGACAGGACCUUGAUCCAAGACAAGAGAUCAGGUUUGCUUUCACUAAAGAAGUUAUCUACAUAAAUUCUAAACCAAUUAAAAUAGGCAAAUGUUGCCCAGGUAAUUCUCCCAAGUGCUAGAUCACUCAAGGAAUAGUACAGAUUCUCUCUGCUUCUCUAAAACUGAGAAAACAUUGUUCAAUCAAUGAUCAAUGACCUUGAAGGUUGCUUCCCUUGAAGAACAGCAGAAUCACCUCUUGCCAUCCUAAAACAGACAAAUAAUAUGGCCCAAUUAAUGGCCCUAUGGCUUUUCUUUAAGAAGAGAUAGAGAUCUCUAUAUUAUCAACUAGUCAUAAGGCCUUUUGUCAAUGGACAACUAUCACAGUAAUUAUUCCCCCGAUAGUUUAAUCAACAGUACUUGAAGAGUGGUGAAAAGUAACUCUCCAUUAAUAGCCUUGAUGAGUUCAUUACCAGCAAACGAAAUUUCAGGUUACUAAGUGUUUGAAGGAUUGAGCAAACAAAAUCGAAUAAAAAAGGCUUCACCUCAGAAUGGGCAUUGCGCAUCCCUGAAGAGAAACCAUCAUCGAAACAAGCAAGCAGUAGGUGAGAUAGAAUUAGAAGGGUAAGGGGGUGUUCCAUGCAUUCCUAACCUUCCAGUGUGUGCUUCCAAGGUGCAGAACGUCCCUGAAAACAAUCAUAAAAGCAUCAAUUCACAACAUGCAUGACAACAAUGCGACAGAUUUGAAAGAAUCACUUGAGGAGUCAAUUUUAUACAUCACCUCCGGUACAAUCCGGUUAAGAAAUGUUUCGGUGUCAUCCUGUACAUCUGAGUCGUAGUUCUCGUUAAUGGUGAGAGAAGCACUCGUAUGCUGCACUGUAGAGUGCAGACCAGCUUCUGGUUAAGAGAAACACCAGCAAACUGCUACUAAAAAAAUAGAGAGACAAAUCUACCGAAAGUUUUACUUACAGAAAAGAUGAGCAAGGCCGCAUUUAAAUCCUGAUAAAUCCUGCUCUAUCCCUCUCAAAAUCUGAUAGAACACCGACGGCACACAAUUAACAUGACGGGGUGAUUGAUGCAUAUUUCUGCAUCGAUCGCUCAGACGAAUUUAAUGGGAUGAAGAUGUAAGUCAGUCGAUACUUCCGAUUUCCAUUACAGCGAUCUACCAACGCACUUGUAAUUACUAAAAAUUGUUUCUUUUUUCUCUGAUGUGGUUUCCAUCAAAAACCCCUUUUUACUAAAUUGGCUCAAUCAAACGAGGUCAGGACGAGCCCGAUGCAAUGAUGCUACUGCAAGAAUCGAGAGAGGACGAGGAAGGGGUAUCUCACCUUGGAGGUGAUGAGAUGGCAGCCGCGCCUAUGGGGAGGGAUGACGACGGUCUUCUGUGCCCAUUUGGCGGCCAUGGACUCCGUGGUGGUCGUGGUGGUGCCAAGGGCAGCAGAGGCGGCGACGGGCGGGCCCCUGUGGGAUCUCAAACGGGGGACCGAAGGAGAGGCGCUGCUGAAGCGGGGCUUGACGGAGAAGACAACGGCAGCGGCGGCUUGCAUCGCUUCUCCAAACAGCAGCAGCAGCAAUUGGUGGUGGUGUUGGUAAUUUACGUGUGUAUAUCGUAUAACGAGGGGCAGGCGAAGGGCACAGUAAGAUUAGGGAGGAACGAAGCGGAGUGCAGGGAAGUUAUGGUUCACAUGGCUUUACGAUUCGUGAAAGCCUUUGUUCUACCACACGAUCAAGGACGGAGUUGAUAUCCUCUUUGUAUAUAUAUAUAUAUAUAUAUAUAUAUAUAUAUAUAUNNNNNNNNNNNNNNNNNNNNNNNNNNNNNNNNNNNNNNNNNNNNNNNNNNAUAUAUAUAUAUAUAUAUAUAUAUAUAUAUAUAUAUUGAUGGGGAAGUCAUCGUAACGAGCACUAUUUGGGUCGUCUUCUCGGCAGGAAUGCUGCCGUUCUUGCCGUUACUUCCAAGCGUGGGACCGAAAUGGAGGCCGAGAGCGAUCUUUGGAUCUCUCUUCUUCCGCGGGUGAUCUUUGUUUGCUUCUUUGCCUCCUGUCGCCGCUUCUUUCGUUGCUUCUUUCGAUUGGUCUUCUCGCGCUACUUCCUCUUUCGAGUGUUUGUCCUUCUCCUCCUCGUCCUUCUAGUGCAAGAAACAUCGAUGGGCCCGCCCAAGAUUUCGAUUCCUCUGCGGCCCGACACCCCCCCCCCCUCUCUCGGAUUCCAUUGAAGAACGAAAGAAGGAUGGAUGGGAAGGAACGGAAAUCUUGUUUGUCUCAGACUUCUUGAUUUCAGUAAUUGAUUGUCACUCGUUUGGGACUCGAUGGUUUCUUGGAUUCUUUCUCCGUUGCGACCCUUACCUUUCUUGCGAUGGCCACGUUCUUUUGGCCGUAGAAGCCCCUGUGGCUCUCGUGUUACUUGUUCGACAAGCCUAGGUUUUCAAAGAAUUUAAUUUCCAGUUUUUGGUUCCGUCUUGUCGCUUUUAAUUGCUUACCUUUUGAAAGUGAAUCUUGUCUUCUGACUCACCUUUUAUCACGUUGUGGCAUUCUUCUUGCCAAGUUCGUAUAUUGUGUGUUCCAUAGGAAGGAGUUUAUGCAUUUGCAGAUUGAUUUGGUUUUAAUGAAUUUGCUGAAGAUUUUAGCUGUUCCUGACAUUUUUGAGAUAUUUGUCUAAAUUUGAAUUCGACCAUCUGGAGUAACUUGUUGCAUUGUUGUUUGCUAGUGCACCUUACUGGCCUUCUAUUUCCAGAAAAUUGUUGCAUGGAAACUGAACUCUUAGUCCAUAAAUCAGGAUCAAGUGAAAAUCUUUUAGAACAAGAAUUUGGUUUUGGCACUCACUAGUUAUUGAGACAAUGGCAUCAAGCUCAUGGAAAUCUGAACAUGAAGAAGGCCUAGACAACUCUGGGAUAUCUCAUUAGCAAGCUAUGUAGGUGCAUCAAGGAUGAUAGUUAAGGGCAGAACCGACUAAACAUUUCCAACUGUAGAUUCUAGAAAACACCCGGUCUCCAAUGAAAUGCUAGAGAAGACAAAGGCUAAUUAUAUAUUAUCUUCUGUAGUUAGUUACCUUUAGCAUUCCAGUCCCUACACUUCAAAAAGUUACAUUGACAUCUCUAUAGUUACGAAGUGAAACAUCUAGGUCCAUUUACCAUAAUGACAUCAAUUUUACUAACGGAAACACAUAAACAAAGGGCAAAAAAAUAAUUUUAACGUUUCAGUAAGUUAUGAUGGACGAUGGCACCGUUAGGAUCGCGGGUGACUAUUAUAGAUGAGGAGAGCGACGGCGGGAGGUGAGGGGCCACUCUGCAUCUGUGUCAGCAUUGAUACAGAUGUCGAGCUGCCCUCUCAUCGCUCAGCAAUUGUAUCGACACAGAUGCAAAGCGGCCCUUGCUCAUCAUUGCUCUCUUCAUCCACAACAGUCAUUGGUGAUCUCCAGCGGUGACACCGUUCACCACCACCAAUUGAAAUGUUAAAAUUAUCUCUUUGCCUUUUAUUUUCGUGUUUCGUUGAUAAAUCCGAUAACGUUAGGAUAAAUGGACUUAAAUAUUUCACUUUCGUAACUAUAGGGAUACCAAUGUAACUUUUUUAAAAUGUAGAGAUCGGAUUGCUAAAUGUAACUAAUUACGGGGGGUAAUCUAUAAUUAGCUCAGAAGACAAGCAAAACUAAAAGCACAUAAUUGUUUAGGAGAGUGGAGAACUGUCGAUAGCACAGACAGUCUGAAUUCUAUUGAGAGAAACGAGGGUUUAACAGUGUCAAGGGAGGGAUACAAAUUAUCUGUGGAGAGUUUCAAACUCAACAAGGAUGUUUGGUGAGUUAAGUUUAGUUUGGAAUCAGACUUUCCUAGGGACUCUGAAGGAGUAAAGGAUGCACUUGUUACUCUGCAGCAGUGUUUUGUUGUUUCAGAUGCAUCCAGGCCUUGCUGCCCUAUAGUGUAUGCUAGUACUGGGUUUUUCAGCAUGACAGGAUAUUCAGAAAGGGUUCGUCAGCAACUCCGUGAAUUGUUUUAGCUGACCCUGUAAUUACUGAACAGAUUGUAGGAAGGAAUGCUAUAAUCCAUGAAUACAGAUUAGAUUGUCCAUAACAAAAUUUUUUAUAUAACUCAUUGUAGUAUAUUUCUAUAUACUACAGAUUAGAUUGUCCAUAACAAAAAUACAUUUUGAUCACAACUCUUACUUUCUCCUUUUUCUAUAUUAAGGCUUCUUUAGUCUCUAAACGUCAUUUUUCUUAUUUCUUUACUGUAAGUUUAGCACUUGCAAUUUAAACAUUAAGACUUCUGAAAAGAAAAUCGCUUGUUCGAUGAUUACUUGCACAAUUGCAGGUUAGCCUAGCUGCGAGGCAGUUAAUCCAUGGUCUACUCACCUGAGACCGUGCUAAUUGUUUGAGAUAAAAAACUGGAGCCCAUGAGAUCAAACAACACUCUUUUUCCAUGAUGUUAAUUGGCCUCUUAUUUUUUGCAUGGUAAUCUUUUUAAGUAUUGUAUUGUAUUUCAUGAAGCUUUCUUUUGAAGUAGUAUCCAACCAAUGUUUCAUUUUUCAACAGACUCCACGUUGUCUAGAUGUCCCACUUCAAUUGAUUGGAACUGAACCUGAUUCCAAGCUGAAGGAUAUACAAUGGGAUGACAAACACUCGAUGGAACUCUAGAACCUUCAUGAGGUGAGUACCACCAAACUAACAAAGUUGAACACUUUGACUCAGUCGCUGUCAACUGAUACAUUUAACAAAACAUGCUGAUUUGUCUAUUUGCCUUGCACUCUGAGCCAAAGAUAUACAUCCACUCCAUUGCAUAAGCAUUUGGACAGGUUAAGUAUUUGGUAUUGGAGAUCUGGUCAGAGAAACUGUGGCAAGUCAAAAAUUUAUCAGCAAGUUUCAUGAAACAUUGUUACCUAAAUGAAGAUGCAAGUUACCGCUUGAACUUCCUGCUUCCUGAAAGCUAAGACCACUGUUAAGAUCAUUGCUCCGAUGUGUGAAAUAUGUACAGAUGCAAACAGUAGGUAGAAAAAUGUACACAUCAUCUUUAACUUCCAGUCCGAGCCACACACUGAAAAGGACAAAGUCAACACACAAGGCUCCGGCCGGUGUCUGCAAUCACUGACUCCUCUAUACAAUUAAAUUUCAGAGAACAAAUGAUGAACUCCACACUAAACAUCUCGGUCUUGUAGUUUUGCUUGCUUCUAUCAAUGAUUUUGCAACUUUAGUUUUGAUAGUUGUUACACUGAAAUAUGAGAGGUUAUUGUGCUUAAUUGACUACUUGCAUUUGGGUGAUCUUAACAGAUAGCGAAGGAGACAGGUUUAUGACCUGGAUGAUUUCCCGCAGAUGAUCAAAUAGGUUUAUGACCUGGAUGAUUUCGACGAAAAUACUGGUCAUUGUGUAUAGAUAAAGAAGUGAUAAGUAUAUCAUGAUCAUCGCUGUAGAGAAUUCUGCAUUGAGCUCAGUUAGUGGAUAGCUUCUGGACAGAUCGUUUCGUGAAUUUUUACUUGUUUUAUCAUGGAUUUCAUGCAGCACCUAUAGAACAAGAAGGGCACAAACUAGGGAGUUAAAAAGGCAUAUGGAGGGGCAUGAGGAUGGAACUUGUUGAGUAUUUUUCGUAUCAAAAUAGCAUUGAGGUUCCUAUCUUUGCAAGAAUAUAAUUUUGUAACAUAUUUUGCAUGUACGCCUAUGGUUAUCAGGAGGCAUACACCAACUCGAACAUAGAUAGUAUCGAGCAGAAGUAAAUACCAUCGACUCUUUAUUGGUUUGGUGCUAGGUAAUAUAUUAAUGGUCAAUUAUUAUUUGAUAGAUAAUCAUUAUGUGGAAGUCAUAGUGGAAGGAAAAAAUUUAAGUCGUCCUUUACCUGUUUUCUCGUGUGAAUAAAAGUCCAAGGUCAAUCUUCCGGAUUAUCUACCUCCUGUCAUCCAUGUGGAGAUGUUGGGGUAGUUAUAUAUUGUCCCUUUAAGGCUAAGUAUAAAAACUAAUCUAUGACAAUACGUUGGGGGUUUUCUUUCCAAAAAAAAAAAAAAACCUACACCCACUUAAAGAUCUCAGUCACCAAUUUGAACGUCAAUCGGAUCGAAAAAAAUUUCCCGACAUUGGUCUUAGUAUAGGUAGUGUCUCGAGUGCUCGACACCUCCCCCUCGAAGACACCUUGGAGCCACCUCAGAGCUGCCCAAGCUACCACCUUGAACACUCUUGCACUCUUAGGUUUGAACCACGUCGAGUUGGCUCAAACAUUGACGAUGAUUUCCCAUAAGUCGGGUAAGUCUCCGACCCUGGUGGACUUACCUUGAGAGUAGAUAACUCGGGUCACAAAGUCUAUGCAUGCAUUACCAUCAAAAAGCACCCGAGGUUAAAAAAUAACUUGGAAAUAACCUUCAAGGAAUAAGAGAUGGAGUACCCCAACCCAAACUAUGACGAUGCUUUGGUAGUUUCCAUAAAGAUAAUUAACAUAUAAGUAAAGAGGGUUAUGAUUGACAUAGAUAGCUCUGUUAAUAUCAUCUACUUUGAUGAUUUUUAAAAACUUGGGCUCUCGGCUAACGAUAUCACCCCUAUAACUUUUUCGUUGACGGGGUUCAUUGGCGACUUUAUCUCCCCUCUCAAGACUAUGAGCCUGCAUGUUACGUUUGGGGAUGGGCCCUACUCUAAAAUGGUGAUGACCAAAUUUAUGGUGAUCGACAUCCCUUCAGCAUACAAUGCAAUCAUAGGCCGACCCACACUUAACAGGUUGAGGGCAAUGUUGUUGACCUACCACAUUGUGAUGAAAUUCCCAACAAAGAUUAACAUCGAAGAGCUAAGAAGUAACCCGAGAGAGUUGCGCUAAUGCUUUCUGAUGGUGAUGCCCGGCCUAAGGCACCUUUGGACAAAGGCCCAUCCCGAUUAGGUUGUCUAGGUCGGGGCAACAUUCCCGAGGAGAAGCAAGUGCAACUUAUUAAUUUUCUUUAGGAGAACUCUAAGGUGUUUGCAUGGUCGCUAAGAGACAUGUUGGGAAUCAACCCAGAUAUGACCCAACACUACUUGAACAUCUCUCCCGAGGCUCGACUAGUGAAGCAAAAGUCUUAUAGGUUUAUUCCUUAUCGUCAACAGGUGAUUAGCGAUUAAGUAGAUAAGUUAUUAGGAGUAGGGUUUAUUGCUAAGGUGUAGUACCCCUAGUGGCUUACUAAUGUUGUAUUGGUUAAAAAGUAUAAUGGAGAUUAAAUGAUGCGUAUUGAUUAUACCAAUCUUAAUAAGACAUGUUCGAAGGACGGCUACCCUCUCCCUUGGAUCGAUUAGCUGGUUGAUACUACCUCGAGUUAUAAGUUCUUUACCUUCAUGGGUACAUUCUUGGGAUAUAACUAGAUAAGGAUGGCAUACAUGAUAAAAAACACACCUCUAUUAUCAUAGAUUGAGACACAUAUCAACUGAGUUAUGCCAUAUAGAUUGAAAAAUACGAGAGUGACAUACAAAAGGAUGGUGAAUAAGAUGUUCAAUCACCAAAUCGAGAGGAACAUCAAGGUGCAAAUAGAUGAUAUGAUAGUUAGAAGCAAAACGAUUAACUACAUCUAGUAGACUUGGUCGAGAUAUUUCAAGUUCUAAAGAAGUUCAAUAUGCACCUUAGACCAUCCAUAUGUGCUUUUGGAGUUAGCUCGGGAAAAUUCCUCAGAUUCAUUGUUCACCAUAGAGCAAUACAUAGAAACCUUGAGAAGAUACGAGACAUAUUGUAGAUGCGCUCACUUCGGUUGGUAAAGAAAGUACAAUAGUUAACAAGGCUAAUAAUGAUGAUUCCUAUCCGAAUCCAAUGAUAAGUGCCUCCUCUUCUUAUGGGCAUUGAAAAACACAAAGUGUUUCUUGUGGAUCGAGGAGUGUCGGGAGGCAUUUAGUGAGCUGAAGCACUACUUCGCUUAGUUGCUAGUCCUCAUUCAUCUUUCAGACUACCACAAAGGAAGAGAGUAUGUCCUUUAGUCGAAACACUUAACCCUCCUCUUUAUCCGAGAGGAAGAAAAGGGUCUUGUCACUAUAAUGUGCUAACCAGGCAAGGUUGAAUCCCUAGUCUCAACUUGAAUUCAUCAGAAAGAAGCGCUCAUUCCAACCUUUGUGGUUGGAAAGGGCACCAUUGAUCUUGAAGCCUCCCCAAGCAGCUAGGAAGUAGUCAUUUCUCUCCUUACACAACCGAAAACAAGUGACCAAAAGAGUAAGGUUCGGAUAGGAAGAGAAGGGUGUUGUCACUAUAAUGUGCUAAUAAGGUAAUGUUAAAUCCCUAGUCUCAACUUGAAUUCAUGAAAAAGAAAUGCUCAUUCCAUUUGUGAUCGGAAGGGGCACCACUAGCACAUUGGAAAACAAGUGACCAAAAGGAUGAAGUUCAAAAUAAUACUAGCACGUCAGUAUUCUCCCACAAAUACUAUUAAGUAGCAUUAUGAGUUGGACAUCAUUUGACGAAGGACUCAAAAUCCAUCACGAUAAAAAAAUAAUUUAAAGCUCACCACAACAAGAGAGGAUCUAAAAUCAGUUACGAUGAAAAAACUUGAAGCCCACGAAAGGGAGAGAACCAUGACAAAGAAAGAACUUAAGCCUGCCUUCAAAAUCCAUCGAUGAUGAUUUCUCCUUGGUAAUAAUUUUUUUUAUAACUUUUUAGAAAAAAUACUAAAGAAUACCUCACAAGUGUCACAAACAUAAAUAAAAAGAAGGAAAAAUAUGGAAAGACAACAGUCAUUUUACAACAGCAGCACAUGUAACACUUUCUUUGUUCGACAUACUGUGGAGGCAUCACUAGUGAUGCAACUUUCUCUGGCGCAGCUCCACAAAACACAAAUCACCAUCAGCAGCUCACGAGGCAAAUUAAAAUUGCACCAGCGGCGCGUCCAUGAGAUUGGUAGAUGUUCACACCCUGCUAAUUUUACAAAAUCACAAAAAAAUAUUUGACCGCUGAUGAAUUAUUUGGUACUUCUUUUUGUAAUCUUACAUUAAUACAAUGAGUAUCCAGAGGACUAAUAUCAGUAGCACAUCCAUGCGGAGAAUCACUCCGGCAGGCUGCUAUCAUCUUCAGCAUUGUCAGGUGCAGGAAUCUUCCGAAAAAAUUCCUCCUCCGGAUACAUGGUGGUAAAUAACUGCCACAUAUAGUAUACAGAACCAGAAUCUAGUCAGGAUUAUGACAAAAAUAAUCAAAGAUGAAUGAUGGUAAUUAGCGCGGCCAGAAUUUUCUUUUUCACUAUUUAAUUUGUCAAAAAAACAGAAGAGUCUUGAGAUAGUUUUAUGUUGAGAAUUUACUCUCUCAUCUAAAAUUUAUCCCAAAAUAAGUGGUCAUUUUGGAAAGAAAAUAGUGUGUCCAUUGGGUUAAUUCACUUGUACUUGACAUAUCAGCCAAACAACAAACCUUCCUUUUGUGUUCUUUAUUUCUCUUUUAUUUUCUUUUCAUUUCUAUAAGCAAUAAUUUUCAUUUUCUUCCACUUUCUUUGGACCCAAAACAGAGGCAGACAUGUUGUGCUUAAGAGUCACUGGGAGCUCAAAAUAUGCAUUUUCUAGUAGAUAAAGUCCAGGAUUGAUGGAAGCCAAUAACCUGAGGUUAAAUCAUGCAAGUUGGCAGCAAAAGUGCCAAAUGAUUGAAAAUUGGGUCAAAAUGACCUUCAAUUAUUUUUUUACUUCAGGUGUUUGAGAAUCUAGUACACUAGGUCAAAAUGGUGUGAUUAGUAGUGCCAGAUUGUUCUCACCACAAGAUGAUAACCUAAGAUGCAAGAAGUUAAUUACUGAAACAAAUUGCUUAGAUAC